AGUAACGGCGAGUGAAGCGGCAACAGCUCAAAUUUGAAAUCUGGCUCCCCUGGGGGCCCGAGUUGUAAUUUGUAGAGGAUGCUUCGGCGUGGGCCCCGGUCUAAGUUCCUUGGAACAGGACGUCACAGAGGGUGAGAAUCCCGUACGUGGCCGUGGGUGCUCGCCAUGUGAAGCUCCUUCGACGAGUCGAGUUGUUUGGGAAUGCAGCUCUAAAUGGGAGGUAAAUUUCUUCUAAAGCUAAAUACUGGCCAGAGACCGAUAGCGCACAAGUAGAGUGAUCGAAAGAUGAAAAGCACUUUGGAAAGAGAGUCAAAAAGUACGUGAAAUUGUUGAAAGGGAAGCGCUUGCAACCAGACCUGCCUGCGGUUGCUCAUCCGGGCUCCUGCCCGGUGCACUCUUCCGCAGUCAGGCCAGCAUCAGCUCUGGCGGUCGGAUAAAGGCGGCGGGAAUGUGGCUCCCCUCGGGGAGUGUUAUAGCCCGCCGUGCAAUGCGGCCAGCCGGGACUGAGGUCCGCGCUUCGGCUAGGAUGCUGGCGUAAUGGUUGUAAGCGGCCCGUCUUGAAACACGGACCAAGGAGUCUAACAUCUGUGCGAGUGUUUGGGUGUCAAGCCCAGGCGCGUAAUGAAAGUGAACGGAGGCGGGAACCUUCGGGUGCACCGUCGACCGAUCCUGAUGUCUUCGGAUGGAUUUGAGUAAGAGCAUAGCUGUUGGGACCCGAAAGAUGGUGAACUAUGCCUGAAUAGGGUGAAGCCAGAGGAAACUCUGGUGGAGGCUCGCAGCGGUUCUGACGUGCAAAUCGAUCGUCAAAUUUGGGCAUAGGGGGCGAAAGACUAAUCGAACUAUCUAGU
rnacentral:rRNA from 1 species